UUGGAGGGCAAGUCUGGUGCCAGCAGCCGCGGUAAUUCCAGCUCCAAUAGCGUAUAUUAAAGUUGUUGCAGUUAAAAAGCUCGUAGUUGAAUUUCGGGAUCAAUAUGCUGGUCGUGCCUUUGGUACGUACUGGUAUUAUUGGUUUCUCCUUUCUGAUGAAUCACGAUGUCAUUAAUUUGGUGUCAUGGGGAAUCAGGACUGUUACUUUGAAAAAAUUAGAGUGUUUAAAGCAGGCUUACGCUUGAAUACAUUAGCAUGGAAUAAUGAAAUAGGACGUUUAAUUCUAUUUUGUUGGUUUCUAGGAUUGACGUAAUGAUUAAUAGGGAUAGUUGGGGGCAUUAGUAUUCAAUUGUCAGAGGUGAAAUUCUUGGAUUUAUUGAAGACUAACUACUGCGAAAGCAUUUGCCAAGGAUGUUUUCAUUAAUCAAGAACGAAAGUUAGGGGAUCGAAGACGAUCAGAUACCGUCGUAGUCUUAACCAUAAACUAUGCCGACUAGGGAUCGGAUGAUGUUAAUUUAUGACUCAUUCGGCGCCUUACGGGAAAC
rnacentral:rRNA from 1 species